AUGCCAACUGCACAUACUAACUGCACAUCACCGUGUGUUUACUGGACAACUGACCCAAAGAGGAGGUUUUUGCACAGCCAUGUGCCACUGUGGUAUGUCUUCGGAGGAGGGACCCAGCUGACCGUCCUCAGUCAGGCCAAAUCGCCUCCUAAAAUACUCCUCUUCCCUCCAUCCUCUGAGGAGAUGGACACCAAGAAUGAGGCCACCCUGGUGUGUCUGGUGAGCAAUUUCUACCCAGGAGCAAUCCAAGCCGCCUGGAUGGCUGACCAGAUUGGAGUCACGGAUAGAGUGGAGACGACCAGGCCAUCCAAGCAGAGCGACAACCGCUAUAUGGCCAGCAGUUACCUGACUCUGAGUUCCACGGAUUGGAAACGCCGUGAGACCUACACGUGCCAAGUGACGCACGAAGGAGUGAAUUAUACAGCAUCUGUGAAAAGAUCUGAGUGUUCAUAACUCUUUGCAGCUUAUAGGUCUUUGCCUGUCCCCCACUCCCAACCCAAGUCUUUGGAGAGCAGAGAUCAUUCCAGAAGGCUCCUCCAUCAACUUAACACAAUGCUGUCUGCAAAUAGCCUUGUAAUUCCUUCUGUUCCCACCAAAGACCUUUCUGCUUUGUUAGCUUCUGAUGCAGUCUUGUAGCUAUGCCAAUAUUCACAGAAAUAUCACCACCCACCUCCUCCCUUUUUGCCCCCUUUGUGCAAUUUUCAUUACCUUCUAAUAAAA